UUCCAGACUCCUACGGGAGGCAGCAGUGAGGAAUAUUGGUCAAUGGGCGAGAGCCUGAACCAGCCAAGUCGCGUGAGGGAAGACUGCCCUAUGGGUUGUAAACCUCUUUUGUCAGGGAGCAAUUGGCGCUACGUGUAGCGUUAUCGAGAGUACCUGAAGAAAAAGCAUCGGCUAACUCCGUGCCAGCAGCCGCGGUAAUACGGAGGAUGCGAGCGUUAUCCGGAUUUAUUGGGUUUAAAGGGUGCGUAGGCGGAAUGCCAAGUCAGCGGUAAAAUCGCGGGGCUCAACCCCGCCCAGCCGUCGGAACUGCCGGGCUAGAGUGGGCGAGAAGUGCGCGGAAUGCGUGGUGUAGCGGUGAAAUGCAUAGAUAUCACGCAGAACUCCGAUUGCGAAGGCAGCGCACCGGCGCCCUACUGACGCUCAGGCACGAAAGCGUGGGUAUCGAACAGGAUUAGAUACCCUCGUAACC
rnacentral:rRNA from 1 species